rnacentral:rRNA from 1 species
CGAACGCUGGCGGCGUGCCUAAUACAUGCAAGUCGAGCGAGCUUGCCUAGAUGAUUUUAGUGCUUGCACUAAAUGAAACUAGAUACAAGCGAGCGGCGGACGGGUGAGUAACACGUGGGUAACCUGCCCAAGAGACUGGGAUAACACCUGGAAACAGAUGCUAAUACCGGAUAACAACACUAGACGCGUGUCUAGAGUUUGAAAGAUGGUUCUGCUAUCACUCUUGGAUGGACCUGCGGUGCAUUAGCUAGUUGGUAAGGUAAUGGCUUACCAAGGCGAUGAUGCAUAGCCGAGUUGAGAGACUGAUCGGCCACAUUGGGACUGAGACACGGCCCAAACUCCUACGGGAGGCAGCAGUAGGGAAUCUUCCACAAUGGACGAAAGUCUGAUGGAGCAACGCCGCGUGAGUGAAGAAGGGUUUCGGCUCGUAAAGCUCUGUUGGUAGUGAAGAAAGAUAGAGGUAGUAACUGGCCUUUAUUUGACGGUAAUUACUUAGAAAGUCACGGCUAACUACGUGCCAGCAGCCGCGGUAAUACGUAGGUGGCAAGCGUUGUCCGGAUUUAUUGGGCGUAAAGCGAGUGCAGGCGGUUCAAUAAGUCUGAUGUGAAAGCCUUCGGCUCAACCGGAGAAUUGCAUCAGAAACUGUUGAACUUGAGUGCAGAAGAGGAGAGUGGAACUCCAUGUGUAGCGGUGGAAUGCGUAGAUAUAUGGAAGAACACCAGUGGCGAAGGCGGCUCUCUGGUCUGCAACUGACGCUGAGGCUCGAAAG